ACGGGGGGCGCAAGCGUUGUUCGGAAUCAUUGGGCGUAAAGAGCGUGUAGGCGGCUUGAUAAGUCAGAUGUGAAAGCCCUGGGCUUAACCCAGGAAGUGCAUUUGAUACUGUCUUGCUUGAGUAAGGGAGAGGAAAGCGGAAUUCCUGGUGUAGGGGUGAAAUUCGUUGAUAUCAGGGGGAACACCGGUGGCGAAGGCGGCUUUCUGGCCCGGUUCUGACACUGAGGCGCGAAAGCGUGGGGAGCAAACAG
rnacentral:rRNA from 1 species